GAUGAACGCUGGCGGCGUGCCUAAUACAUGCAAGUCGAGCGAACGGACGAGAAGCUUGCUUCUCUGAUGUUAGCGGCGGACGGGUGAGUAACACGUGGAUAACCUACCUAUAAGACUGGGAUAACUUCGGGAAACCGGAGCUAAUACCGGAUAAUAUUUUGAACCGCAUGGUUCAAAAGUAAAAGACGGUUUUGCUGUCACUUAUAGAUGGAUCCGCGCUGCAUUAGCUAGUUGGUAAGGUAACGGCUUACCAAGGCAACGAUGCAUAGCCGACCUGAGAGGGUGAUCGGCCACACUGGAACUGAGACACGGUCCAGACUCCUACGGGAGGCAGCAGUAGGGAAUCUUCCGCAAUGGGCGAAAGCCUGACGGAGCAACGCCGCGUGAGUGAUGAAGGUCUUCGGAUCGUAAAACUCUGUUAUUAGGGAAGAACAUAUGUGUAAGUAACUGUGCACAUCUUGACGGUACCUAAUCAGAAAGCCACGGCUAACUACGUG
rnacentral:rRNA from 1 species